GUGCUCGCUUCAGCAGCACAUAUCCUAAAAUUGGAACAACGCAGAGAAGAUUAGCAUGGAUCCCAUGCAAGGAUGACACGCAAAUCUGUGAAGCCAUCCAUAUUUUU
rnacentral:snRNA from 1 species